ACAACGUAUUCUUGCCAAAAAAUCUGAGCCUUAGAUGUAAUCGGUUCCGCUGAUGCCGCCAUUUCAAAUCGAAAUAUAGGGACAGGGUAUAUAUAAUAUUUUUUACAUUUUUUAUUUGCAAAUCUUUUUAUAUUUUCUUUUUAUUUAGAGUACGUAUCUAUAUUUAGUUGUAUUUCUGGACCUCAAUAGUCUUCAUAACCAGUAAGAUGGACGCAGAUACAGAGCAGGUGACGGACAACACAGAAACUUCCCAAGAUGCAUCUGAGGAGCCAAUAUCAGAAAACAAAUCCAGGGGUCGUGGUGGGUUCAAAGGGCGUGGCCAGGGGUUCCGGAUUGGUCGAGGAGGCAUGCAUGGUGGGCGGGGCCUGAUGAUGAAAGGAUUUGGCCCACCCGGACGAGGCAGGGGGGAUAGAGGACGGGGUGGGGACAUGAAUGGGUUUGGACCCAUGAGGAGAGGGAUGGGGAGGAUGCGGCCGUACCCAGACAUGAGGGGCAGGAGAGGAGGGAGGGUCGCUCUGAUGGGGAGGGCCGGGCCUAUGGGGAGGGGCGGUCUGAUGGGGAGGGGCGGUCUGAUGGGGAGGGGCGGGGUCUGGGGGGGAGGGGCGGUCCGAUGGGGAGGGGCGGUCCUAUGGGAAGGGGCGGUCCUAUAGGGAGAGGCGGACCUAUGGGCAUGGGUCCUCCUCCACCCCCACCCAUGCACCUGAGAGGCCCCUACCCACCAAUGCACAGACACGGCCCCCCUCCUCCUCCCCCCCUGGGCCACCCUGGUUUUAGAGGGCACCCACCACACCCCAGAGGAAGAGGCAUGUCCCCCGGACCCCCACGCCACUUCCACCCCAGGGGCCCCAGAGGCUACCACAAUGGACCAGCUUCUCCUCCUCAUCAUCCCCCACCUGGCAGAGGCCAGAGGUGGCCAGGGCCCCCUGGUGGCCGACGGUUUUAACGCAGCCUGCCCUAAAAUAAUACAGUAACAGAGAGCUUUACAGUCUAUAGCAGCAAGCCUACUGGGCUGGGGUGGCUAAACUGAGCUAAGAGCACCUUAAUAUGUGUCAUAAAAAGAAGACCCCUUUUUAAACAUCCUUAUGGAACACCCUGUAGCCAAAUAUCUGGAUAUUGAUAUCGUAUACCAGAGGAGAAGAUGUGAAUCAACAAGUGGACACUUAAAUGCCUCAGACCUUAACAGUACAUAAAGGCAUUCUCACUUUCAUUGUAACUUUUGUUAUUAGAAAAAAAUGUGCUCUUGGUAUUAGGACAAAGUUGUAUAGUAUUGAGAGAAUGAAAAUAUGAUUAAAAAAAGAGUCCCAAAGGGAUGAUAAGUGUUGAUAUUCAAAUCCCUUAGAUGUCAUGUGGUCUUGUGGUGGUCACUCUGUGAACCUUAAGGAAUAUCUGACACUAAUAAAAAGAGAAAUGACACAUUGUGUGUGAGUGAGAAAGAAAAGAAGGUGAGAAAGAAAGAAAGAAAGAAAAAAGAAAGCAAUGUGCAACAGCCCUCAAGCACCAGUUACUAGCACUAGUUUCUUACACCUUGGACCUCCCUAACUUUCCCUUUUGUUACAUGGAUAUACUUUUGUAUUACAACUUCACCAAGCAGUACACAACUACAGCAAAAGCUGUUUAGACUCACAUACACAUUCUUAAGUGAAAGACAAUAUUUUUCAUGUCAAGUAUUCAUGAUUAUUUUACGUGACAUUUUUAUAUGAUUAAUGUGCAGCUAUUUUAAGUUAAUGCAUAUUGCUAUUUGGAACAAUUCAUGCUUGUGUUCAGCAAUCUAUAUUGUGGAAUGACUAAAGAACUUAAAUUAAUACUAUAUUGAAAUAAUAUAACAAAUAUAUAGUAUAUAUACUAGCAGCAUUUACAGUAUAUUUCAAAGCAAAUUACGAAACAAGUAAUUGCUUCAGUUUAGUCUAAGAUACUUACUAUUCAGUGUGUUAAGUUUUGAAGUGUUAUCAUACGUUAUACUUACUGUAACUGACAUAACUUUGUGGAUUUGUGGAUGUACUUUUGGAAAACAGUAACAACUAUGACGUAGUCGUGAAGGAAAAAAAUAAAAGUAAAACUUAACUGAA